rnacentral:rRNA from 1 species
GAUGAACGCUGGCGGCGUGCCUAAUACAUGCAAGUCGAGCGAACGGACGAGAAGCUUGCUUCUCUGAUGUUAGCGGCGGACGGGUGAGUAACACGUGGAUAACCUACCUAUAAGACUGGGAUAACUUCGGGAAACCGGAGCUAAUACCGGAUAAUAUUUUGAACCGCAUGGUUCAAAAGUGAAAGACGGUCUUGCUGUCACUUAUAGAUGGAUCCGCGCUGCAUUAGCUAGUUGGUAAGGUAACGGCUUACCAAGGCAACGAUGCAUAGCCGACCUGAGAGGGUGAUCGGCCACACUGGAACUGAGACACGGUCCAGACUCCUACGGGAGGCAGCAGUAGGGAAUCUUCCGCAAUGGGCGAAAGCCUGACGGAGCAACGCCGCGUGAGUGAUGAAGGUCUUCGGAUCGUAAAACUCUGUUAUUAGGGAAGAACAUAUGUGUAAGUAACUGUGCACAUCUUGACGGUACCUAAUCAGAAAGCCACGGCUAACUACGUGCCAGCAGCCGCGGUAAUACGUAGGUGGCAAGCGUUAUCCGGAAUUAUUGGGCGUAAAGCGCGCGUAGGCGGUUUUUUAAGUCUGAUGUGAAAGCCCACGGCUCAACCGUGGAGGGUCAUUGGAAACUGGAAAACUUGAGUGCAGAAGAGGAAAGUGGAAUUCCAUGUGUAGCGGUGAAAUGCGCAGAGAUAUGGAGGAACACCAGUGGCGAAGGCGACUUUCUGGUCUGUAACUGACGCUGAUGUGCGAAAGCGUGGGGAUCAAACAGGAUUAGAUACCCUGGUAGUCCACGCCGUAAACGAUGAGUGCUAAGUGUUAGGGGGUUUCCGCCCCUUAGUGCUGCAGCUAACGCAUUAAGCACUCCGCCUGGGGAGUACGACCGCAAGGUUGAAACUCAAAGGAAUUGACGGGGACCCGCACAAGCGGUGGAGCAUGUGGUUUAAUUCGAAGCAACGCGAAGAACCUUACCAAAUCUUGACAUCCUUUGACAACUCUAGAGAUAGAGCUUUCCCCUUCGGGGGACAAAGUGACAGGUGGUGCAUGGUUGUCGUCAGCUCGUGUCGUGAGAUGUUGGGUUAAGUCCCGCAACGAGCGCAACCCUUAAGCUUAGUUGCCAUCAUUAAGUUGGGCACUCUAAGUUGACUGCCGGUGACAAACCGGAGGAAGGUGGGGAUGACGUCAAAUCAUCAUGCCCCUUAUGAUUUGAGCUACACACGUGCUACAAUGGACAAUACAAAGGGCAGCGAAACCGUGAGGUCAAGCAAAUCCCAUAAAGUUGUUCUCAGUUCGGAUUGUAGUCUGCAACUCGACUACAUGAAGCUGGAAUCGCUAGUAAUCGUAGAUCAGCAUGCUACGGUGAAUACGUUCCCGGGUCU